CCCAGGUUGGGAAGAUCUCCUGGAGGAGGGAACGACAAUCCAUUUCAAUAUUUUUGCCUGGAGAAUUCCAUGACCAGAGGAGUCUGGUGGACUACAGUCUAUUUAUCGAUCUGAUGGUUUGAAUUUAGCUGCUUCUGGAUUUUUAACAGCAGAAAUAGAAACAAUACUAACAGUAAUAAUGAUCAGGAAUCCUUUUGUUGUGCAUGCAGUUUCUGCCGUGGACUUGCCUACCUGUGCUGUGUAAAGUCCUUAUCCAUCCUGGCUGCAUUUGCCUAGAGCCUGGUUUGGUAUUGAGCACAGGUCGAGGACCAGUGUUAGCACCUGUGAUGUCUAUUUGGAGUUCAUGUGGAAUUGAAAUGGAAACUUUGAAUGGCAGAGGAAAAGAAUAAGCAGAAGGGAACUGCUUAAAAAUCACUUUGAAAAUGGCUUCCCUGGUGGGCCAAGCGGUUGAGAAGCC
ensembl:lncRNA